rnacentral:rRNA from 1 species
GAUGAACGCUGGCGGCGUGCCUAAUACAUGCAAGUCGAGCGAACAGACGAUGAGCUUACUCCUCUGACGUUAGCGGCGGACGGGUGAGUAACACGUGGAUAACCUACCUAUAAGACUGGGAUAACUUCGGGAAACCGGAGCUAAUACCGGAUAACAUGUUGAACCGCAUGGUUCAACAGUGAAAGACGGUCUUGCUGUCACUUAUAGAUGGAUCCGCGUCGCAUUAGCUAGUUGGUUAGGUAACGGCAUACCAAGGCAACGAUGCGUAGCCCAACGGUGAGGGUGAUCAGCCACACGAGAAUGGAGGCACGGUCCAUGCUCCUGCGGGACGCAAGGGUAGGGAAUCUUCCGCAAUGGGCGAAAACCUGACGGGGCAGCCCCGCGAGAGUGAAGAAGAUGUUCGGAUCGUAAAACUCUCUUUGUAGGGAAGAACGAAUGUGUAUGUAGGUAUGGACGUCUUGAAGGUACCUAAUCAGAAAGGCACGGCUAGCUACGUG